GGCCAGCAGCCGCGGUAAAACGUAGGAGGCUAGCGUUAUCCGGAUUUACUGGGCGUAAAGCGCGUGCAGGCGGUUCGCUAAGUCAGGCGUGAAAUCUCUCGGCUUAACCGGGAGGGGACGAAUGAGACUGGCGGACUCGAGGGCAGGAGAGGGAAGCAGAAUUCCCGGUGUAGCGGUAAUAUGCGCAGAUAUCGGGAGGAAUACCAGUGGCGAAGGCGGCUUCCUGGCCUGUUUCUGACGCUAAGACGCGAAAGCUAGGGGAGCGAACGGGAUUAGAUACCCCGGUAGUCCUAGCUGUAAACGAUGGUUACUAGGUGUGGGUGGUAUUGACCCCAUCCGUGCCGAAGCCAACGCGUUAAGUAACCCGCCUGGGGACUACGACCGCAAGGUUAAAACUCAAAGGAAUUGACGGGGGCCCGCACAAGC
rnacentral:rRNA from 1 species